UACGUAGGGAGCAAGCGUUGUCCGGAAUCAUUGGGCGUAAAGCGCGCGUAGGCGGCCUCAUAAGUCCGUUGUGAAAGUCAAAGGCUCAACCUUUGAAAGCCGAUGGAUACUGUGAGGCUAGAGUCCGGAAGAGGCGAGUGGAAUUCCUGGUGUAGCGGUGAAAUGCGCAGAUAUCAGGAGGAACACCAAUGGCGAAGGCAGCUCACUGGGACGGUAUUGACGCUGAGACGCGAUAGCGUGGGGAGCAAACAGG
rnacentral:rRNA from 1 species